AACGCACAUUGCGCCUCCUGGUAUUCCGGAAGGCACGUCUGUUUGAGCGUCAGUUAACCCCUCAUAGAGCGAUUUAUGGUAUUGGGGGCCGCCGGGCCACCGGCGGCCCCCUGAAACUGGCAGGGAGAUGCCCCGCGGUACAGUGGUAGAACAUUCCCGCGGGUAGCACUGUCCCUUCAAGAACCGGCUCGCUUAGAGCUCGCACUCUUGACCUCAAAUCAGAUGAGGAUACCCGCUGAACUUAA
rnacentral:misc_RNA from 1 species